rnacentral:rRNA from 1 species
AGAUUAAGUUAUUAAGGGCGCACGGUGGAUGCCUUGGCACUAGAAGCCGACGAAGGACGUUACUAACGACGAUAUGCUUUGGGUAGCUGUAAGUAAGCGUUGAUCCAGAGAUUUCCGAAUGGGGGAACCCAGCACGAGUUAUGUCGUGUUAUCGACAAGUGAAUUCAUAGCUUGUCAGAAGGCAGACCCGGAGAACUGAAACAUCUUAGUACCCGGAGGAAGAGAAAGAAAAAUCGAUUCCCUGAGUAGCGGCGAGCGAAACGGGAAGAGCCCAAACCAAUAAGCUUGCUUAUUGGGGUUGUAGGACACUCUAUACGGAGUUACAAAGGAAUAUAUUAGACGAAUCAUCUGGAAAGUUGAAUCAAAGAAGGUAAUAAUCCUGUAGUUGAAAAUAUAUUCUCUCUUGAGUGGAUCCUGAGUACGACGGAGCACGUGAAAUUCCGUCGGAAUCUGGGAGGACCAUCUCCUAAGGCUAAAUACUCUCUAGUGACCGAUAGUGAACCAGUACCGUGAGGGAAAGGUGAAAAGUACCCCGGAAGGGGAGUGAAAGAGAACUUGAAACCGUGUGCUUACAAGUAGUCAGAGCCCGUUAAUGGGUGAUGGCGUGCCUUUUGUAGAAUGAACCGGCGAGUUACGAUCUGAUGCAAGGUUAAGCAGGAGAUGUGGAGCCGUAGCGAAAGCGAGUCUGAAUAGGGCGUUGAGUAUUUGGUCGUAGACCCGAAACCAGGUGAUCUACCCAUGGUCAGGUUGAAGUUCAGGUAACACUGAAUGGAGGACCGAACCGACUUACGUUGAAAAGUGAGCGGAUGAACUGUGGGUAGCGGAGAAAUUCCAAUCGAACUUGGAGAUAGCUGGUUCUCUCCGAAAUAGCUUUAGGGCUAGCCUCAAGUGAUGAUUAUUGGAGGUAGAGCACUGUUUGGACGAGGGGCCCCUCUCGGGUUACCGAAUUCAGACAAACUCCGAAUGCCAAUUAAUUUAACUUGGGAGUCAGAACAUGGGUGAUAAGGUCCGUGUUCGAAAGGGAAACAGCCCAGACCACCAGCUAAGGUCCCAAAAUAUAUGUUAAGUGGAAAAGGAUGUGGCGUUGCCCAGACAACUAGGAUGUUGGCUUAGAAGCAGCCAUCAUUUAAAGAGUGCGUAAUAGCUCACUAGUCGAGUGACACUGCGCCGAAAAUGUACCGGGGCUAAACAUAUUACCGAAGCUGUGGAUUGUCCGUAGGACAAUGGUAGGAGAGCGUUCUAAGGGCGUUGAAGCAUGAUCGCAAGGACAUGUGGAGCGCUUAGAAGUGAGAAUGCCGGUGUGAGUAGCGAAAGACGGGUGAGAAUCCCGUCCACCGAUUGACUAAGGUUUCCAGAGGAAGGCUCGUCCGCUCUGGGUUAGUCGGGUCCUAAGCUGAGGCCGACAGGCAUAGGCGAUGGAUAACAGGUUGAUAUUCCUGUACCACCUAGCAUCGUUUUAAUCGAUGGGGGGACGCAGUAGGAUAGGCGAAGCGUACGAUUGGAUUGUACGUCCAAGCAGUGAGAUUGAGUGUUAGGCAAAUCCGGCACUCUUAAGAUUGAGCUGUGAUGGGGAGAGGAAAUUGUUUCCUCGAGUCGUUGAUUUCACACUGCCGAGAAAAGCCUCUAGAUAGAUAAUAGGUGCCCGUACCGCAAACCGACACAGGUAGUCAAGAUGAGAAUUCUAAGGUGAGCGAGCGAACUCUCGUUAAGGAACUCGGCAAAAUGACCCCGUAACUUCGGGAGAAGGGGUGCUCUUUAGGGUGCAAGCCCAGAAGAGCCGCAGUGAAUAGGCCCAAGCGACUGUUUAUCAAAAACACAGGUCUCUGCUAAACCGUAAGGUGAUGUAUAGGGGCUGACGCCUGCCCGGUGCUGGAAGGUUAAGAGGAGUAGUUAGCUUCUGCGAAGCUACGAAUCGAAGCCCCAGUAAACGGCGGCCGUAACUAUAACGGUCCUAAGGUAGCGAAAUUCCUUGUCGGGUAAGUUCCGACCCGCACGAAAGGCGUAACGAUUUGGGCACUGUCUCAACGAGAGACUCGGUGAAAUCAUAGUACCUGUGAAGAUGCAGGUUACCCGCGACAGGACGGAAAGACCCCGUGGAGCUUUACUGUAGCCUGAUAUUGAAAUUCGGCACAGCUUGUACAGGAUAGGUAGGAGCCUUUGAAACGUGAGCGCUAGCUUACGUGGAGGCGCUGGUGGGAUACUACCCUAGCUGUGUUGGCUUUCUAACCCGCACCACUUAUCGUGGUGGGAGACAGUGUCAGGCGGGCAGUUUGACUGGGGCGGUCGCCUCCUAAAAGGUAACGGAGGCGCUCAAAGGUUCCCUCAGAAUGGUUGGAAAUCAUUCAUAGAGUGUAAAGGCAUAAGGGAGCUUGACUGCGAGACCUACAAGUCGAGCAGGGUCGAAAGACGGACUUAGUGAUCCGGUGGUUCCGCAUGGAAGGGCCAUCGCUCAACGGAUAAAAGCUACCCCGGGGAUAACAGGCUUAUCUCCCCCAAGAGUUCACAUCGACGGGGAGGUUUGGCACCUCGAUGUCGGCUCAUCGCAUCCUGGGGCUGUAGUCGGUCCCAAGGGUUGGGCUGUUCGCCCAUUAAAGCGGUACGCGAGCUGGGUUCAGAACGUCGUGAGACAGUUCGGUCCCUAUCCGUCGUGGGCGUAGGAAAUUUGAGAGGAGCUGUCCUUAGUACGAGAGGACCGGGAUGGACAUACCUCUGGUGUACCAGUUGUCGUGCCAACGGCAUAGCUGGGUAGCUAUGUAUGGACGGGAUAAGUGCUGAAAGCAUCUAAGCAUGAAGCCCCCCUCAAGAUGAGAUUUCCCAACUUCGGUUAUAAGAUCCCUCAAAGAUGAUGAGGUUAAUAGGUUCGAGGUGGAAGCGUGGUGACACGUGGAGCUGACGAAUACUAAUCGAUUGAAGACUUAAUCAAUUU